UAUUGGUCAAUGGACGCAAGUCUGAACCAGCCAUGCCGCGUGCAGGAUGACGGCUCUAUGAGNUGUAAACUGCUUUUGUACGAGGNNAANNNCNGAUACGUGUAUUGGGUUGAAAGUAUUGUACGAAUAANNNANGNCUAACUCCGUGCCAGCAGCCGCGGUAAUACGGAGGAUCCGAGCGUUAUCCGGAUUUAUUGGGUUUAAAGGGUGCGUAGGCGGUUUGAUAAGUUAGAGGUGAAGUGUCGGGGCUCAACCCCGAAACUGCCUCUAAUACUGUUGGACUAGAGAAUAGUUGCGGUAGGCGGAAUGUAUGGUGUAGCGGUGAAAUGCUUAGAGAUCAUACAGAACACCGAUUGCGAAGGCAGCUUACCAAACUAUAUCUGACGUUGAGGCACGAAAGCGAGGGUAGCAAACAGG
rnacentral:rRNA from 1 species